AAAAGAGAAGUUAACUAAAAGAGGAUGUUCUGCCAAGAACAGACGGGGGCCUGCAAGCGGGCCACGUCAGAACAAAGUCUUGCACGCAAGAUUUAUUGUUCAGAGGCAGAAUUUCCUUGAGGUGAUAAAUAGUCCAUGAGGGCACGGAAAGUACUAGGGAGGGUACACAGCUGCAGGUUGAAGGGAUCUUUGAACAAUAUAGGAAAUUAAUAGUUUAAUGUAUAACUUAGCUCAGAUGAUCUCAUAGGCAUGCCUGUUUGUCAGUGUUACUUGCUGUACUCCCCAAUAAAAGCCAUGAGAACUUUGGAGGAUUUGCUAUUUGCCUGAGCGAGCAGUAGCCCUCUGUCUCUGAAACUCAUCCUGCACGCCGAGCUCAUCUCAGCGUCACCGUUCACCUGCAGACCACCUGCAUAUGGCGCCUGGAACAGGGACCCGAAGGUGAGUUAUCCGGACCGAGCAGGACCGAAAGGGAUUUGGCCGAGCGAAAAUGCAGUGUCAGCUGCUGAAAUACAUUGGGGACAUACAAAGGAGGUCCCAGUAGAACAACCUGUCAUGUACCAAGAUGUUACCUACUAAUCAAUGGUGCCCGACUACUGUUUUAAGGUGGGGUCGAGGUUAUGCUUAUGUUUCCACAGGGACUAAGAAGUUCUGGAUUCCUGAUAAAAGAAUCAAAUUAAGGCGUGGCGAGCAAGAGGAAGUGUGACGAGGCGGGACUGGAAGACCCGUUUGCACAGUUAACCAUCCAGGGAGGACAAACAAGUCGUGUACCAUUGCCUCGCACCCAAAACACCCCUCCACCUACAUGGGGACAGGUGAGGCACCUAUGCCAGGAAGGGGAGCGUCUUGUGACUGCCCAUGGAAGGCCCUGUAACUAUACCAAUAUAUACUAAUGACUCUAAUCGGAUGCUUGGACCUUUUGAUGAUCGUGGGCCUUUGAAACCAGAUGAAGAAGGAAUAAGAAUGAACAACUAUUCAACAGGAGUUACCGGAAUGCCUGUGUGCCUGGGUCUGGGUGAUCAUUGUUUGCAAUUGGGUUAUAAAGCCUGGUUGAGUGUGGCUAAAAACACCACUAAUCCUUGAAAGGACCAGUUCAAUGGAAUCAAACUACUGGGGAAAUAUCUUGUUUUAAUUGUACCUUAUUAACUUGUGUAAAUAACUCUGUACCUUUUAAUCACAGUAGAGAGAGCUUGAAUCUAUUUCGAGCCAGAACAGGAGUAUGGUUACCUGUACAGAUGGAUCGACGAUGGCAGGAAAGUUCUCUAGCUGGAGCUCUCCAAGCCAUUGAGGAAGGAAUAUUGAAGAGGUCAAAAAGGUUUAUUGGCAUGCUAAUCGCUGUAAUUCUUGGAUUAAUUGCUAUAACAGCAACUGCUGCAGCAACUGGGGUAGCAGUACAGCGAUCAGUCCAAACUGCUACUUUUGUUCAAGACUGGCAUAAAGAUUCAGAACAGUUAUGGAAUUCUCAACGGCAUAUUGAUAGUGAAAUCAAUGAACAAUUAGCUGAUCUUGAACAAUCAGUAGUUUUAUUAGGGGACCAAAUUGUUAGUUUGCAAAGGCGAUUACAGUUAAAGUGUGAUUGGAACCAUACUGGUUUGUGUGUCACCCCUGUACCUUACAAUGAGACAGCUUUCCCUUGGGAUAAGGUUAAGAAACAUUUAUUAAACCAUGGUAAUUUAACACAAGAAAUCAUUGAUCUCCAAGUUCAUAUUCAUAACCUGAAGCUAAACAAAAGGGGGAAAUGUAGCAGGUCAAGUGAAAAGAGAAGUUAACUAAAAGAGGAUGUUCUGCCAAGAACAGACGGGGGCCUGCAAGCGGGCCACGUCAGAACAAAGUCUUGCACGCAAGAUUUAUUGUUCAGAGGCAGAAUUUUCCUUGAGGUGAUGAAUAGGUCAUGAGGGCACGGAAAGUACUAGGGAGGGUACACAGCUGCAGGUUGAAGGGAUCUUUGAACAAUAUAAGAAAUUAAUAGUUUAAUGUAUAACUUAGCUCAGAUGAUCUCAUAGGCAUGCCUGUUUGUCAGUGUUACUUGCUGUACUCCCCAAUAAAAGCCAUGAGAACUUUGGAGGAUUUGCUACUUGCCUGAGCGAGCAGUAGCCCUCUGUCUCUGAAACUCA